AUACUGCAAGCGUUUGCACAUCUCUGACAACAACACACAGUUCCUGGAGAACUUCCUGUCUCUCAUGGUGGAGAUCACACCAGAAUCUGAAGACUGUGAGUUUCUCCUCUGUGUGUCUGUAUCUUGUAUUAUUAAGGGCCAUGCCAUUAACCCUACAACAGGUCUGUUGAACCGCUGAACAUUAUAUGGAAGGACACUUGAGGCACAAAGCAUUCUUUUGGGCAGUGUGCAAUGUGAGUUUUUCACCUGUGAUAUUUUACAAAGACUGACAGGUUACUUUAAUUGUGUGUGUGUGUGCGCAUGUGUAUCAUCACAGGUGAUCAAAGACUCAUUCAUAACCUGAUUUUGGAUUCUGGAAUCAUCUGGCAGCUAGCAUCUAGAGUGUGGAAGAACAAGGAUAUCCAAACAUCCGCAAACAGAUGAUUGAUGGCAGACCGGGUGAUAUGCGGAUUAAGACGCUUGUUAAGUCAAUUGAUGAGAUAAGUGAUCGAUACAUAGAUGUAGCACUUUGAGGUUACUGCUGGACCCCCAUCAAUGAUACAGACUACAGUCUGGUCCUGGUACUACUGACCAACAAUGAAUCCAGGCAGACCUGAGUGAUGUGAUGCUGCAGCUCCAGUUUGCAGAUCUUCAAUCUCUGCUGCCCAGCUCCUUUGAAUCAGGGGGACACGGGCUCCUGGCUCCCAGGGAAUAGUCAAGCGUUUGCACAUCUCGGACAACAACACACAGUUCCUGGAGAACUUCCUGUCUCUCAUGGUGGAGAUCACACCAGAAUCUGAACUCUAUGAGUUUCUCAUCUGUGUGUCUGUAUCUUGUAUUAUUAAGGGCCAUGCCAUUAACCCUACACCAGGUUUGUUGAACCGCUGAACAUUAUAUGGAAGGACACUUGAGGCACAAAGCAUUCUUUUGGGCAGUGUGCAAUGUGAGUUUUUCACCUGUGAUAUUUUACAAAGAUUGACAGGUUACUUUAAUUGUGUGUGUGUGUGCGCAUGUGUAUCAUCACAGGUGAUCAAAGCGUCAUUCAUAACCUGAUUUUGGAUUCUGGAAUCAUCUGGCAGCCAACAUCUGGAGUGUGGAAGAACAAGGAUAUCAAAACCUGACAGGCUCCCAGAGGCAGGGUCCCAGCUCACUCAACUGCCCCUCCCCUCUCCAACAGCCAUCAGCCUAGAACAGCAUGAAGAUGGAACUGCUAAAAGAUCAUCUAUGUAAGGGCUUUGAUAGUCGCGUUGCAGGAAUGAGGCGCAGGAAGCAACGAACACAGGGAGUGGUGUUUUUAAUAACACUGAAGCAAAAACAAAGUUCCCAAGCACAGGGGAAUAAACACAAUGAGCGACAAUGCAAAGCCGACACGAACAAGAAGUCGACAUACAAUAAUCAAUCCCGCACAACAAGGAGCGGGCCAGCUAAACUAAAUAGCCCCUCUAAUGGCUAAUUGACCACAGGUGUCCAAAAGCAAAAAAAGGGAAAAGCAAAAGGGAAUCGGUGGCAGCUAAUAGGCCGGUGACGACGACCGCCGAGCGCCACCCGAGCAGGAGGGGGCGCCACCGUCGGUGGGAAUCGUGACAAUCUAGGAAUCCUCCCUUCCUCGUGGAGCUUUUUGAAGGCUAUGAAAAAAGACAAAAGACAUGACAUUGACUCCUGAGUGUUGAACUUUUGCCCACUCUGUAGCCUCCCUGGUUAUUAUAUGACCCUGAUGGUCAUCUACGAUUGUUGGAACGUCUUUAAUAACAAUAAGGGGCAUAUGUACUCUUAAAUGUCCACUCAGCACAGCCCUCGGAGCAUGGUUCCUCUCUAGUUUUAAUCCUAGGUUUAUGACUUCUAGGGAGUGUUUCCUAGAUGCUGUGAAUCGGCAUAUGCAUUGAUGGGUCUUAGAUUUUUAGACUGGGUAUCUGUAAAACACUGACAACUGCUGAUGCAAAAAGGGGUUUUAAGAAAUACAUUUGGUUGAUUGAAAGAUUUGUAUUAUUAUCAAAAUAAUAUAACAAUAGUAUUAUUAUAAUCAUAAUCUUUAUUAUUAUUAUGUUACAGGUGUGACAUACCCAGAAAUGUCAACGUCUUGUCAAGUGCUCAAAUCUGUACAGCAGCCCCAGACAAUCAUGUACAGUAGGUCCAAUUUACAAGAAUGGGUUUACAAGGCAGUGAUGAAAACAGUUUAUAUGAGCGCUAAUUCAAACAUACAAUGAUAUAUAUUCGAUACAAUUACCCAUUCAAAACUAGUGUUACAAAAUCACUUCUCAUUGUGUUCAUUUCAAGGUUUCACAAACAUAAAACAACUAUCUAGUUAAUGUUUCUUGGACUAACACACUGUUGAGUUUCCUAUUUACUGAAGAACAAUCAUUAAGACAAAACACAAAAAGUUGUAAUGUAAUCUGUAUACAUGUCAUUCUAUACUGAAAACAGGUACAUUCUGAAAGAUUUUGAUGAUGUUGAUGUGAUAACACAUCUUUUUAUUCAUGUCUCAAUUUAGGAUAAUAGUGUUUAUUUUAAUUUUACUUAAAUUGUAUUAUUUAUGUUGUCUCAUACCAUGCUAAUACACUACCAAGCAAUGCAAACAGAUGUGGAAUUUACCCCAUAACAGUUGUGUCUUUUUGGAUCAAGAAUUGAUCAAGAAUUCCAAUAGGCGUGAUCAGAUCCUCUUUCCAUGCAGGCAUCAUAUAAUGCACAGCCACAUGCAAAUCCAUAAACUCCACCAAUAAAACAUUGAAAACCUUAA